rnacentral:rRNA from 1 species
ACUCAAAUGAAUUGACGGGGACCCGCACAACCUGUGGAGCGUGUGGUUCAAUUCGAGACGAAACGAAGGACCUCACCAGGGUUUGACAUACUACCGUACAUUUUUCUGGAAACAGAGAGAAAUCCGUAAGGAUGGUAGUACAGGUGCUGCAUGGCUGUCGUCAGCUCGUGCCGUGAGGUGUUCCCUUAAGUGGGGAAACGAGCGCAACCCCCAUCCAAUGUUACAUUAUUCAUUGGAAACUGACUCUACUUUGUAGAGAAGGAAGGAGGGGUAGAUGUCAAGUCAGCACGGCCCUUAUACCCUGGGCCACACACACACUACAAUGGCGAAUAACAACGGGUUGCAACACCGCGAGGUGAAGCUAAUCUCUGAAAUUUCGCCUUAGUUCAGAUUGGAGUCUGAAACUCGACUCCAUGAAGCCGGAAUAGGUAGUAAUCGCGGAUCAGCAAGCCGCGGUGAAUACGUUCUCGGGUCUUGCACACACCGCCCGU